rnacentral:misc_RNA from 1 species
GAAAUGCGAUAAGUAAUGUGAAUUGCAGAAUUCAGUGUAUCAUCGAAUCUUUGAACGCACAUUGCGCCCGCCAGUAUUCUGGCGGGCAUGCCUGUUCGAGCGUCAUUACAACCCUCAGGCCCCCGGGCCUGGCGUUGGGGAUCGGCGGAAGCCCCCUGCGGGCACAACGCCGUCCCCCAAAUACAGUGGCGGUCCCGCCGCAGCUUCCAUUGCGUAGUAGCUAACACCUCGCAACUGGAGAGCGGCGCGGCCACGCCGUAAAACACCCAACUUCUGAAUGUUGACCUCGAAUCAGGUAGGAAUACCCGCUGAACUUAAGC